rnacentral:rRNA from 1 species
GGCGAACGCUGGCGGCGUGCUUAACACAUGCAAGUCGAACGGAAAGGCCCUGCUUUUGUGGGGUGCUCGAGUGGCGAACGGGUGAGUAACACGUGAGUAACCUGCCCUUGACUUUGGGAUAACUUCAGGAAACUGGGGCUAAUACCGGAUAGGAGCUCCUGCUGCAUGGUGGGGGUUGGAAAGUUUCGGCGGUUGGGGAUGGACUCGCGGCUUAUCAGCUUGUUGGUGGGGUAGUGGCUUACCAAGGCUUUGACGGGUAGCCGGCCUGAGAGGGUGACCGGCCACAUUGGGACUGAGAUACGGCCCAGACUCCUACGGGAGGCAGCAGUGAGGAAUAUUGCACAAUGGGCGGAAGCCUGAUGCAGCAACGCCGCGUGCGGGAUGACGGCCUUCGGGUUGUAAACCGCUUUCGCCUGUGACGAAGCGUGAGUGACGGUAAUGGGUAAAGAAGCACCGGCUAACUACGUG